AUCACUUCUAGGCAUAAUGUAGGUCAUUAAGUUAAUCACAGUAUGAUUUUAAACUUUGAGACUAGUUUUCCCUCACUAUACUGAGUGCUGGAGAAGGGUAGGAGGACUCAUUUAAUUUAAGAACUCUUUUUUAACACUUCCCUCUUAAUAAUCUUAAGAUGUCAGAAGAUAAUUUUCUCCUUUUUCUUCUUUUGGUGUUUUAAAGGCCCAGAAUAAGAUAGGAUUAAAUGUACCAAAUGUGAUUGAGUGUAUUCUUGAGGUUAAAAAAAGA
rnacentral:lncRNA from 1 species